AGUGAGCGCUGGCGGUAGGCCUAACACAUGCAAGUCGAACGGCAGCACAGUAAGAGCUUGCUCUUACGGGUGGCGAGUGGCGGACGGGUGAGGAAUACAUCGGAAUCUACUUUUUCGUGGGGGAUAACGUAGGGAAACUUACGCUAAUACCGCAUACGACCUACGGGUGAAAGCAGGGGAUCUUCGGACCUUGCGCGAUUGAAUGAGCCGAUGUCGGAUUAGCUAGUUGGCGGGGUAAAGGCCCACCAAGGCGACGAUCCGUAGCUGGUCUGAGAGGAUGAUCAGCCACACUGGAACUGAGACACGGUCCAGACUCCUACGGGAGGCAGCAGUGGGGAAUAUUGGACAAUGGGCGCAAGCCUGAUCCAGCCAUACCGCGUGGGUGAAGAAGGCCUUCGGGUUGUAAAGCCCUUUUGUUGGGAAAGAAAAGCAGCAGGUUAAUACCCCGCUGUUCUGACGGUACCCAAGGAAUAAGCACCGGCUAACUUCGUG
rnacentral:rRNA from 1 species